CCAAUUGCUAAUUACAGUUCCAGUUUCAGUGAAUGUACAUGAAGAGGUGUAUUUAGUACAUUUCCAGAUCUGCUUGAUCAAAGUCUAAUGUCUUUCUGAAUUCGUCACCCAAAUGAUAAAGAACUAUUUAUGACGUCCUCUGAGAUCGCGAGUCGGCCGCCAGUUUCAAUCUACAACGCAGAUUCUUCAUGGAAUCGUGAGUCCUGAGCCAACGCUGGUUUUUGUAUCCAAGAAAGAAGAAGGACUUCUACCAACGUCUGGGUCCUUAUCUUCACGACGUACGCUGCUUCUUGUGCUUCAUUGACGAAUUAAAUUACUUCAGUGUUCGCUUCCGCCCGCUGUGAGCCUGUGACACACCUGUCAUCAUUCACCACGGGAUUAUGCCCAGGUAAUGCAGAGGAGACGUCGAGAAGAUGGAUUUUCUCAUCUUUGACAAUCGUCACCGGUCUCCGUUGGAUGUUGCCCCUGCUCCUGGUGCGAACGAAACUCGGUGAAAUCGCGACCGACACCGAGACUCGUCAUCAAUGUGGAUCAUCGUAUUGUGUUUGUGUUUGUGUUAGUUAACCCGUUGGCUGCCACACCUUUG
rnacentral:lncRNA from 1 species